UACGUAGGGUGCAAGCGUUAAUCGGAAUUACUGGGCGUAAAGGGCGCGUAGGCGGUCCUGAUCGUCGGAUGUGAAAGGCCUGGGCUCAACCUGGGAUGGCAUCCGAUACGGCGGGACUGGAGUGUGGGAGAGGUUGGUGGAAUUCCCAGUGUAGAGGUGAAAUUCGUAGAUAGUUAGGGAAGAACACCGGUGGCGAAGGCGGCCAACUGGACCACAACUGACGCUGAGGCGCGAAAAGCGUGGGGGAGCAAACAGG
rnacentral:rRNA from 1 species